ACAUGCUUUUAUUUCACAAUAAUUUAAUUAUUCAUAAUAUAAUAUAUUAACAAAAAAUUGUCUAACUUUUCUUACACAGUGAGAUAACAUUGUCUGUAACUUUAUUCAGAGAUUUAGCUCACAAUGAGGGUUCAAUUAUUAAAGGCAAUAUGAAUGAGACAACUAUAAUAGCACUAUCAAAUUUUAAAAUAUCAUUGUACAAAGGGGAGAUGUGCAGGACUUCGCAAAUUGCAUCAACAAUAUGUAUCAACCCUGAAAUACAGCUUGCUAAGGACAUGCAAGAAUGGUAAUUCAAAUAAAAAAGGUAACUUAAUAAAUUAAAAUUUUAAUAUUUUUAAGAUUAUAUGCAAGGCUCUUUCAAAAGACGAUAUCAAGACUAAUGGUGCUCCAUCAAGGCUUUUUAAAAAUGCAGCGAAAAUGAAUAUUAUUGACAUUAUGCAAGCUUCACAAAAAUCAUAAAAGGUAUGAUAUUAAUAAUCCUACUAUAAAAUAUUAAUGAAUCAAGAGCUUCAGUUUCAAAACAAGCUGAUAUAAAAAGAUCUUGUUUCAUUGGUAAGAUAUAAAGUAAACAUGAAUUUUUUUAAUUAUAUUCACUAAAAAAAGAUUUAUUUUCUAAUCAUAUAUUUUUAAUAUAGUUAUAAGUUAUCCUAAAUAUGUUUCAAAUACAUUUACAAUUAUUACUUUUACAUUAAUUUAAAAAAAAAAAUCAUUUUUGACUAUCUUUUUUUAAAUUAUUUUAUAAUUUCUUAUUUUAUUUACUAAAUAUAUGUAAACUAUGAUUAUAACUAACUAAAUUUUUACAACUCUACAGGCACAAUAUGACAGCUUUACGGGAAAAAUAACUAAUAUUUUAAAUAGACAUGAGGCUUGGUACUACUCUUGCAAAGACUGCAAUAAAAAAAUAGAAAAAACAAUUUAUGAAAAAUGUCAAAAUUUUUAAAAAAACAAUGAAGAUAGUAUACCGAGGUAAAGUACUAUCAAUUACUCGUGAAAGAAAAAUAUAAAGAUUAAAUAUAAAACUAUCAGCUGAUGCACAAUGAUAAUACAAAAUGUUGGUAUGUAGUUAAAAUCAUAGUUGAAGAUGAGACAGAUUAUGCAAGAGUGAUACUUUUUGACGCAGCAAAAACUUUGAUAGGAUAUAAGGCUCAAAAAUUCAUGGAUGAUAUAAAAGAGGUAACUUCUUACUUUAUUAUAUUUUAUACAUAUAAAACAAUAUGUUUCAUGUAUAAGAUCUUAAUUUUUUCCUCAUUAAAACAGAAAAAUAAUCAGAGUUCAUUCUUUCAAAAGUUUAUUCUCAACAUCGGAAAGACAUACAAGUUCCUUGUAAAGUUGGAUGAGAACUCAAAGGAUGAACGUGCACAAGGAAAGAUAAUAGCACAAGAAAUCCAAAUCCAAGAAAACAGCACAAUCAACAUUGAUGACGAUGAUUCGGUUCUUGAUUUACCAAAGAAGAAGAUAAAGGUGGAGAAGGAUUGAUCAAGGGCCCACAAAAAUUAAACAUGAAUAAUUUUUAAUUUUUAUUACAUUUACAAAUUGGUUGAAGGUGUUAGGACAAUUUAUGAUUUAUAAACAUAUGCUCAUAUAGUUGUUUGAUAACUAUUGCAUGCUUUGAUUGUUAUUACAGUUAUUAGCUUAAAUUUAACAUUCAAUUGUGUGAAUGUAAAUACAUAUUCAGAGAUUAGCUGACUUUAUUACUUUAAAUUUGCAUGUCAACUAUUUUUUACUUAUCUAUACUGCACACAAACUAUUGUUUAUAAGUCUUUUGCAAGAAAUCUGAUGACCAAGCACAACUUCCUCAACCUGUUGAGAGGAAACAAUAGCUUUCUACAGAGAAUGUAGCUAAUUUUGCAAAAUUGUUAUUCUGAUUUAUUUCUUUUAGUAGUCCAAAUUUAUUUGUUUCUUUUUUUAUGACAUGGCCAAGUUCUCGGUGUUAUUAAAAGGAUAAUCAAUGAAGAUUGCCUACUACUAGGUUUCAAACCGAAAGAUGAUCAUGCGGAUUGGAUGAUAUUACAACUUCUUCCUAUUCAACCACCUACUGUAAGACCAUCUGUUAUGAUGGACAGCUCUGCUAGAAGUGAGGUAAAUUUGUUAUGUUUCACAAAAUGAUGGAUAACCUGUAUAGCGUUACAAAACUCUUGCAUCACAUUUCUUUUUCCUUUUUAAUACAAUUGAUAAAAUGAAAACCUUACAGGACUAAUUAUUACUUACUAUGUAGACUUCUCUUUCUGACCCUUUGUUUGUCACAACCCCUUCGACGAAGCCCUAGACACCCUCGAACUCGCCGUCGAUGCCACCCUCGAGCUGCACCCUCGCCGUCGACACCGCCGCAAUUCUAGACAGUCCACACAUACAUAUUUACUUAUCUAUAUAUGUAUAUACAAUUCUGGACCCUCUAAACUAAUGAUUAUUAAGCUGGUGCCAUAGAGAAUUAGAUUAUUAACAAAACGUCAGAUAAGUAUAUAUGUUGCAUUUUGAUUAUCUAAACUAAUGUAUAUAUGUAUUUAUUUAGAGGGUCCAGAAUUGUAUAUACAUAUAUAGAUAAGUAUAUAUGUACAUAUAUCGUUGUCGAGCACCAGCUUUAAAAUCCAUGUUUUAAUGCAAUUUUAUUUUGUUUGUAUAUGUGGAAAUCAAUUUUUGAGUUGAAUCCUUAUUUUGGAAGGGAUUUGGAACUAGCAGUGAUCAAGGACAGUGAUGAUAUGGUUGUUAGUGUUUGGUGAAAAUUAUAUAUGGCGAAUAUGAUCUGUAAAUUGUUAAUUAACCGCAAACUUAUGGCACAAGUGAAUUGUCAGCGAGAUUAAAUAAUACUUUAUAAAUACUGUUAGUAGAUUGCUCUAUGCCUAAUGGGUAAUGAAUGCUGUAUAAUACUAUCUCAUAUCUGUGGGAAAUAUCUAUUAAUUUUUUCUGCAAUAUUUUUGUAUACCUCUAUAUCAUGAUACUGAUGACCAACCUCUACUUGAAUUUAGGGAAUACUGUCUUCUGUGAUCUUUUUUAUUUGGGUUUUUGAAAAGAUUGGAGCAGGAAUCGGGGUUUUUCUUCAAUAUGAAGUAUUUUGAGGAGAAGUCGCUCGCUGGAGAGUGGGACGAGGUCGAGAAGUAUCUCUCUGGAUUCACAAAGGUGGAUGAUAAUAGAUAUUCGAUGAAGAUUUUCUUCGAGAUUAGGAAGCAGAAUUAUUUAGAGGCACUUGGCAGCCGUGACAGGAGUAAGGCGGUAGAUAUAUUAGUAAAAGAUCUGAAAGUUUUUUCUACAUUCAAUGAAGAACUAUAUAAGGAAAUUACUCAUCUUCUCACCCUGGAGAAUUUUAGGUAAUAUAUUUUGUUUUCUCUGCUGGGGUUAGUCAGUCCAAGAUUCAUGAGAAUUGUUUGUUGAAUAAAUAUUUGCAGUUGUUUAUGUUUCUGAAAUCAUGAAAGAAGUGUUGGCAAUUUAAAUGUCAUUUAAUGUAUAUUGGGAAGAAGAGAAUGAGGUAGUUGAAUAUGAUUGGAAGUGUUUUUUGAUUUUAAUACUUUAACUAUUUAUGCAGGCU